AAGGAGAUAGCUCAGUUGGCAGAGCGCUGCUUGAUUGCAGAGGUCGUGGGUCCGAAUCCCAUUCUCUUUC
rnacentral:tRNA from 3 species